ensembl:lncRNA
GCAAGGAGCCUGGAGCUGCAGGUGCCACGCCGUCUCGGUCCUGGUCCCACAGGGGCUGGGCUGAGGGUCUGGGGUACAGCUCUGUCCCAGCCUCCCUCUGGGCUGCCCGCCCUGGCACGGGGAUGGAGAAUCAGCAGGCCCUGGGUAGGGGGGUUCAACCAGGGGCUACGGCGGGUCCAAGCAGCUCUGGCCAUGCCCGCCAGUCCCAGCAGAGGGCAGUGUGGCUCCAGGGAGGCCGGCAGGUGACAGGAGGAGGCGGCGGCCUGGCUCCCACUUACUGGCCCCAUGGUCGUCCCUGGCUCUCAGCUCAGGGGCCAGCUAGGCCAGGCGGUGGGCCCUUCCCACCCCACCCUGGACACACCUGCCCACCAUGAUCCUCUGGAACUGGAGUCCCCACCGGGACCCCACACGCCCUCACCCCUCCCAGGCAUGGACUCUCGUUCUCCUCCGCCUUCCUGCUCUCCCAGGAGAGAUCGAGGGGCUGUCGGCCACAGGGUCAGCACAGACUCGUGCUCACAUCCAUUUCCGAGAUGUCUUUGACCCCAGGCCGGGCAGGGCAGCUCUGCUGAGGUCUCGCCCUGGCCUUGGCCCUGCAGCAAGCCCGGCCUCCUCCCCAUGGCUGGCCUGAACGUGCUGGGGCAGCCAGGGGCAGCCAGACCAGCAGGGGGGCAUGGCCUCUGCCAAGUGGCAGUAUUGUCAGCCGAGCCAGGUUACCCAGUGCCCUGCGCUCCAGGCUCAGCCCAGGACCCCGGCCGCAGUGAGGAGUCCUCAAGGGCUCUCAAGGUUUGGGGGAGCAGGCCUGCCACAGUGGCGGGGGGACACGCAGACAGGGAUAGGUGGAGGGCAGGCCAAAGGACAAGAGUUUGCCAGGCUCGGAUGGUCAAGAUUUAAAGCAGUUUGUAAAUUAUAACAGCUGCUCCCAGAACUUUGGGGUUUUUGUUUUUGGUGAGGAAGAUUGUCCCUGAGCUGACAUCUGUGCUAAUCUUGCUCUAUUUUGCAUGUGGGAUGCUGCCACAGCACGGCUUGAUAAGUGGUGUAGGUCCAUGCCGGGGGUCUGAACCCACGAACCUAGGCCACUGAAGCAGAGCAGGCAAACUUAACCACUAUGCCACCAGGCUGGCCCCCAGAGUCUCGAUUUUGAUGGAAAAACCCACUCCAGUAAAAACCCUUGCCGAGCCCCCAGGGCAGGGGUGCAGGCCUUGCAGGUCCCCUCAUUCAGAGUCUCGGGGUGCUGAGGAGCCAGGACAGGGGACUGUGUGGGCAGCUGCCCUCUGAGCUAGGUGGGAGUGGAAUGCGGGGCAGAGGACAAAGGCGGGGUGGGCACACCAGGCUGGGCCUCGUCAUCCGUCUUCACUGCCGCGGCCUGGCUGGCGCCCUGUGCCCGUGGGUGCCGGCAGUGACUGGCCGUGAUCCAGGCUUCCACAUGCAGCGCAGCGCGUGGAGGGGCCAGGAGGGCGCCUGGACCCAUAUGCCCCAUUCUGCUGGGGGCUCCCGGAGCCUUAGGACAAGGCCCUUUUCUUGGGGUGGCCUCAGCGUGUCUGUUUCCUGCGCUGUCACAAUGCAUUUCCCAGGCUCUGCACGACGGGUCACAUACGCAUCCUUAGUGUGCGGCCUGUGCUGGGGGUCCGUGUCUGGAUGAAGGUGACAGGACGGGCUCAGGCAGGGGAGUGGAGGCUAGGGCUGUCCCCUCAGAAUGGUGGCUGCCUGGGGGCAGCAGGCCCCAGGGCCCCCUCAGCUCCCUCCACAUUCUUCCCACGCAGCCUGGAGAAGCCACCAGCACCGCUGCACAUUGGCACCUCCUCAAUCCCAGCGAGGCAGGGGGGCCUGGAGAGGGUGCUGGCAGGGAGGGAGGUGUGUGGUGUGGGGUCCUGAGUCAGCCCAGGGGCCUGCCCAUCCCCAGCCUGUUCCACCCGGCACUGGCCCACUGUCUUUCAAUCAACAUCAAGUGGACUGGUGACAAAUUUGAGAGCAAAGAAUCCCAAACAGCCAUGUCAAUCCCACUGACGAUCCAGAUGAGCUCAGUGGCUGGAAUAGAAGCCAUCUGGCUGGCGACAGUGGUGCCGCACUUGAUCUAGCCGUCCAUCUGCAGCCACUGGGGGCAGGGGCUCGUUCACCAGCAGGACCGGAGGCUCUCCCCAGGGCCCAGGAGGAAGAUGCGGGUGGACAGGCCUCGGGGCAGGAGACCAGGGAGAGGCCUGCACCCAGGUCGGUGCGAGAGCUGGUGGACAUGCCAAAGCAACACCUGGCCGAACUCGGCCGCUGGGCAAGGCUUUGGCAUCGCCGGGGCCCAGGCCCCACUGGGCAGCGCCCGGCUAUGGGCCUCCUCACCUCUUUGGAGAAUUGGCUCGUCUCAGCUGUUCUCCUGGCUCCUGACGUCCUUGCUUCCUCUGGAACGUUGGGAGCCCACAUACCUGUCUGGGAGCAGCACCCUGGCCCCGUCUCGUUGCGCUGAGAAGUCUCUGUGGACAUCAAGGCUGUGAUGUGUGUGCACGCCAGAGCCCACCUUCCACUCCUCUCCGUCCCUCUCUUCCCACUGUGUUCUCCACCCAGGCUGCCGAGCUGAACCCGGCACCUUCCAGACCCCUCCUCCUGCAGCCUCCCGGUACUCUCCCCCUCUCAGAGCUGGCACACACCUCCUGGCUCCUCCCUCCUGCCAGUCAGCCACCCUCACGAGUCCCGUGAUCUUCCCGGAACAUGCUCCCAUCCUGCCCCUGCCCCAGGCCCUAGGGCUCUGCGGUGGGCACCCUCUGCCGUUCCAGAGAGGACCCGGAUGGUGUCUCAGGGCCUCAUGUCUCCUCCCGCUGGUGUCAACCUCCCCAGCCAAGGCGUGUGCUCACCGGGAUCCUGCAGGCAUCCUUUUGGCGCCUGGUCCCCCAGAGUGAGGCUCCACUGGGCAGGACCGUGCUGUGAUCCAGUUAACCCAGGACUGAACGAGUCACUGCAUCUGACAGGCGUGCACCGGCUCCAGGGGGCCUGGGACGGCCCUUCUGCAGACGCAGAAUCAGCACUUCGGCGAAGCACCCGCCCGAGUCCCCAGGACCUUCUGAGCUUCAGGGCGAUGGUGCAGAUGCGGGCUGAGCAGCCAGCCCGCCAAGCUGCUGCACUGGAGGAAAGGAGCUGUUGGGGCCCACACUGUCCUCGCCUUGCCCCGUCAGCGACUCCAUUACUGCCUGGAAUGACGUCGUGGGAGGCGACCCGAGGCUCUGUGGCUGUGACAGAAGCAAGAGUCCAAACUCCUUAGAGAGCUUGUCACAGGAGCCUGUCCUGCAAGAUGAAACCAAACCAACGGGGCGGAUCAAUACUGAGGCCACGUUAGAUCCGCACGGUUAACGGGUGGCUGAGGGUCCCGUGUGGCUGCUCACGUGAGUGGACUGAGGCAGACAUGGCUGUUUCCGCACUGUCGAGUGGAGGACACAGAGAACCUCAGCAGCACCAGAGGAAGAGACCAACGAACUCGAAAGACACGAGGGCCGCGGGCACCAGGAAGCAGAGGUGCGAGGAGGAGAGCCUGCAGCGUGUGCCUUGACGGCCCGUCACUCACGAGUGCGGAAGAGGUGAAGACUCAGAUGCAAAGGUUAGAGGUCACCACUCAGAACGCUUCUAACACAACCAUCACAGAGUGUUGUUUAUCAAAAUGAAAUCUGUUGAGCCAAGAAGUUGAUAAAAUGUCAGUCAAUUUAAUGAUUGACUGUAAAAACAAAGCCUAUUGAUUUUUGUGUCCAAAACAAAACAAACCUGAGACGCUCAGGACACACAUCAAGAUGCGGGCGGGCAGGUCUCCCGAGGAGCUCGCAGCCCCGUCCUUGGCCACGGGGAGCCAUGUGCUGCACCAUGAACGCAGCUGGGAGAGAGCCACAGCCUUUAGAGUGGGUAUUUAAAAUUUUAAGGGUGCUCAAAGAACAGAAAUUUAAUUUAUAAUUUCCAAAAAAGCAAAGAGAAAAAAGUACAGAAGGUUAUUUAUGCAACACAAGAGAAGGUAAAACCAUCCCAGAUCCCUAAGGUGGCAGCAGAAAAUGCAAAGUAAGAUCGCGACGUAAGUCUGAAUACACCGACAGGCACACAAAUGGGCUAAAUCCGCCUCCUAGAGGACGGUGACCGGAUGCGUCGGCACAUCGGCUCCGGCUCCACUGCUGCCAGGAGACGCGGAUGACAGAGACGUGGAUGAUGGGGACGCGGAUGCUGGAGACGUGGUGACAGAGGGCGCAGCCAGCCUUUUACUACAAAGCCCCAGAUGCUGGAAUAGUGACACUAAUCUCAGACGAAAUGCAGUUUAAGGAAAAACAUGAAUAGGGAUAAAGAGAAAUGCUAAAUAACAAUCCCCCCAAAUUGAUAAGAACCAAGUGUAACGUGGGCCUAAGAACAUGGUGUAGAAACAGAGGAAACACCGGCAGGUGACAAGGGAAACGAAGCCCUGCGAGGCUGGGGAGACUUCCACACGAGAGAUGGGGCCAGCACGGGCUCAGAUGCACCGAAAUAACCAGAUUAACAGAUUUAAUCCAACAGAUUCUGUUCCGUCAGUGACUCCGAAACAAACAGAGCCGCACAGGAGGGCACAAAGGCGGCCCGAUUUCACAGAGCUGGAAGCACACGGCCGCGUUCCGGGGCGACGGAGGGCAGUGGGGAUGGUGGGUUGAAGACGUGCUUGCCAAUAGCUCACGGGGAAGAGAUUCAAUCAGAGGAGAAGUGUCCAAGCCAGGGGACGCUCGGAAGGCGCCUACGGACCCGGAUGUGUUUGCAGGAACAAGGAGAUGGACGCCCAUGCAGAGGGCCAACGAGGCCGCCGGGGCAGAGCAUUCCGGGAGACCCUGUAGGCAGGAGGCAGGAGGGCGACGGCAGGAGUUAACGAGACAGAAGAGCCAGAGCAGGCGGGCAACGGGAAGAAGAGUCAGGCCAGCCAGAGUCCUGCGAGGGGAGCAGGAUGUCACUGCGGGCGAGGAGCACAGGUCCCAGGAGAGGACUUGGAGCAAGAUCCUGCCCAUCACUCUGGGCCCUGGAGAGACGUGCAGUGUCAGGUGUCAGAGAAGAUGCAGGACCCGAGCGGACUCAGGAGAAAGUAACAGUUUUGCAUAAACCAGUGGCCAUUAGAGAGACUGAAUCUGCAGUCAAGGACCCCAGGCUCCCCAACAAGGCCACGGUCCUGAUGGUCUCGGGGGCCAGUUCACUACUCUUAAAAAUCCUACAAACAACGCAGGCCGAGUCCCCGUCCAACCCCGUGGCCAGAAGCGUGCUGGAAUUCAGGGUUUCCUGAGGUGUGAAGGGCAGGUCUGCCACACGACGGCGCCCCCUCAGCGUGCGGGCAGCACUGAGGGCACCCACAGACGGGGCCGAGCAGGGCCAGGAAGUCCUCACGCAGCCUCGCAUCCUUCCGCUCAGCUGGCUGCGGUCCUCGUCCACUCAGGCUGCCGUGACAAAGCACCCCAGAUGGGGGCUGGUAAACAGCCAGCACUGCUUUCUCACAGCGCGGAGGCGGCCGUCCAAGAAGUAGGCUCCAGCAGAGUCGGGUCUGCCAAGGGCUUCCCGGGUCGCAGAUGGCCGUCUUCUCGAGGUGCCCUCACACGUUGGGGUGGGGGUGCUCCCUGGGUCUGCUUUAUAAGGGCUCUAAUCCCCGCAUGGGGGCUCCACCCUCAGGACCCGGUCACACCCCGAGGCCCCACCUCCUGCCCCCAUCGCAUGAAGGGACACAAACAUUUAGGCUGUCCCAUCUGCCAACUGAGUUCCCUGCAAACACAAAAAAACAAAACCUCAAACAAACAACUUAGGUUUUCUGAGCUUUUGGGUUCUGAAACUGUAGAUGAGAAACUACGGAGCUGGAUCAAUAACCCAUUAAACAGAGUAUAAUUCAGCCGCACCCCCCCCCGCCCCGCCCCCACUCUGACC